rnacentral:lncRNA from 1 species
GAAGGGAGCAGUAGGGAGCCAGGGACCAACGGCACAGUUUAUAAAAAACGCUUGGGGGCAGCGGGCCCGCAGCCUGCCCACAGGUCGUGGGGAGAGAGCAAAUAGGACAGGAGCUCUGUCUGCAGCAGCAAGCCCACAACUGGGAUUUCACCCGCUAGUGUGUCUCCACUCACUGUUUGAAGACCACUGCUCUAGGCUAGGUCGUCGCUCUCUCGGUGAUGAACCUCGCUUCGGCAGCUCUCUGGCAUCAGACAGUGGAGCUGCUUGCAGAGACCUCCCAGUCCUUUGCUCUUCCUUGCUCACAACCCAGAACAAGCAUCCAGAGGAGCAUUCUAACCUGACCUCUGAUGCGCCACACCGUCCUUUCUUUUGGCCUUCUCUCCUGGUCACCUUCUUUUCCGGCAUCACGAAGCUCCCUCUUUCUCUCCUCUUA